AUCCAAAAUGGCGGCCUGUGAAUGUUCGUAGUAUAUAGUGACAUUUUAUUAAUGUGAAAUCUAUUAUUUAUCCGUUAAUUAUUUGUGACUUUAUUUUAAUAGUUGACGUAUAAUUGCAGUGGGAAUGAUAUUAUUUUGCAUUUAUUUAAUGUGUAUAAUUGUUGCAUGUAUUCCGAUGCGCACGUGUAAGAGCUAUCAUAACAAUCCAAGAUGGCCGCUCGUGAAUGUCUCUAGUAAAAGUGUAGUGACGCGUCCUUAAUUUGUUUAAUACUGAUAUAAUUAUUCGUCUGUCGCUUAUUUUCCUCUAUUUUAGCGCAGCUAGAAUUUUUAAAUGACAAUAGUAUUGUUUGUGUAAUCAUUAUAAUGUGUAUAUAUACUAUGUGUUACUUUAGUAUAAUAACAUGUGGAUUGUGUUAUUGUUAAUUUUUAUAAUUUAUCAAUAGCACUGUUUUAUUGUUGUGUUUUGAGCAGUUUAUUUUUAUAGAGUGUUCGCUUAAUUAAUUUAAUACUAAUAUGUGCAUAGUGUGUUAUUACCAGUUCUAGUGCAUAACAUAACCUUAUUUCUCUAUGCCAGAAUUAAUACAAUUAUGCUAUAUUAACUUAGUACAGUAUAAUAAUUUCUUAUCUUAAUCGCGUUUGUCGUUGACACUCGGUUAAUCGGUCGUGAUUAAUUCCUAACCUAUUCCUAUAUUAUUGGCUAUUUUCUGUUUCUUUGUUACGAAGUUGUCGUUACCUUGUGCGUGUAAUUUGCCGCCUUUACAUAGAAUUUUGGAGCUAAUCUAUACAUUGCUAGUUAAAAUCUUUAUUCUUUAUAGGUUCUACAAUUCUAAUCCUUCAACGCUAAGUCCUUUACUUGGAACGGUUACAUGGUGCGCGUUUGGUAUCUUCUGGUUCUUCGUUACAUGUCUAACACUUAUCAAGACUACUUUUACUUACCCUAGAAUUACCGCUUCGUCAACGUUGGAUUAUUUGUUAUGGCGUCACAAAUUUUUCCUUGAUUAUCCAGUUCCCUGUUGCCGUCUUGACUGUUUCGGUGGUGUCUGAUUCAGUAUUCCAUAAGUAUUCACUUAAGUUUGAUAGUAGGCUUCUUGUAACUGCGUCGGCUUUAAUGUAUAUCUUCCGAUGUGAGUAACGAGCUUCUUAUUAUUAUCAAUUUCUAUUCCAAGAUGGUUUACAACAUUCUUCCCCUUUUUAGGUUAUGAUUGGUUACCUCGGUAUAUAUUACUUUAGAUAUCUUCAUACCGUCGUAUAUUAUGUUUUGCAAAGUUGGAUCCGUAGCCCAUUCUCGUGGAGUUCCUGUAUGCACACUUCCUUCUACGAUGAUUGGUUGCAUGCGAACCUCGUUAACUUAUAAGUAUCAACUUCGAUUCUUCGUACACAUUUACUCCAAUUUGGUAGUUGGUUUCUCAUCACUGCGUUGACCUUUGUAUAAACUUCUUCGAUUUGGCUGUCGUAGAUUAUGUUCUACGGAUAUGGACACAUAACCUGUCUUCGCACAUACACUUCCUACUACGAUGAGUAAUUGUUCACGAGGUUACCACUAUCUGCAGUAUUCGACAAACAGUGUUGUUCCAUAUACUACCGUACUCCGUUGUCUCUUGAAAUCGUUCUUGUGGUCUGUUUCGAUUGUGUUAGUUUUAACUUGUUCGAGUGUAUUGUUCGUGGAAUCCCUUUUACUUUAAUCUUGAAGUUUCAUGUGUGAAUUCUGACAAUAGUGCCUGGUUUAUUGAAGUGUGUUAAUAUGCCUAGGUGUUUUAUAUAUUUUAUAUCUAGUUGUAUAUAAGAUAUAUUUUGUUUAUUGUGGUUUUGUAUGUCCAUAUUUGCUGUAUAUUAAAUUGCUUGAUAUUUC